CAAGUCAAUAUGAAAUGUAGAGGCAACUCCGAAGGGUAUAUUGAAGGUAAUGAAUGUUCAGGGUUUGACAAUCUAUCAUGUAAAAAGCCACCUACAGAAAUACUGACUUGCCAAGUAUCUUCCGGAGGCAAAAGAAGAGAAAAAGUCUUCAUCUGAAGACAUGAAGGGAGCUUCUAUUGGUACUAAAUCUGAUCCACGCAUCCAAAGAUUCUCAAAACCAUAUAGCAUAUAGUGGACACGUAAUCCCUGAUGCUUCCUUCACCUGCCAAGUUGCCUUUUAGUCAGUUUAUUUAUUUAUUUAUUUUUAAAUCUAUAAAUUAAAAACAGUGCUGUGAACCACUAUCUAUCACUGUUUUUUGGAUUUAUUAAAUGGGCGGAACUAAGCACAUGCUGCAUGAGAUGGAAAAGUCCCAAACUGAGUUGUGGGUGAGAUUGGUUUCUUACAAACCCAAUGUUAAUUCGGUACAUUGCAGAUAACAAUCUUGAGAACAACCCAUGGCAUGGAUUUGAUGAGUGGUCACUCAAGAUAAAAACCAAUGCGCCUGAAUAAAGUUCUGAAAAUGUUGUUGGUUUUUCUUCUUCUGUUAUUCUUGAAAGUUAUAUUGGUUGCUUUCAAAAGAUAAGCAGCAAGGCCCUUAGUAUUCAAAUAAAAUCUUAUUAGUUGUUGCAUGGUUUCUUUCACAAGUUCUGGUAUAUUGCCUCAAGAAGUUGCUACUCCCACACCUGCGUGAAGCCUUUCCCAUCCACAUGUAGGCGCACAUGCCAAUGUGGCACACAUGUACAGGAUAUGAGAUUUCCAUUAGGUAUGCGACACGGUUUAGAUAUUCUGGCCAAAAUAAGGCCAUUUCACUCAAAUGAGCAACAGUUGACAAAAGAAAUGCUUGGCUAAAAGAUUUUUUUUUUUUUUUUUUUUCUAGCCAUCCAUUUGUUUUGUACACUUUUGCUGACCUGAGUGGAACAACCUAGUUUUGAUCUUAAACAAGUGCAGCCCACCUGAUGGAUAGCUUGGAUCUUGCACAAGUGUGCCUUAUUGGCACGUGUUCUUUUAUGUGGACGGGCAGCAGUUCACUUGUGUGUGGGCUCAGCAAACCUGUUGUCUCAGUUCUCUGUCUCCUCUAGUAGUUAGUCUUAUAAAAUACCCAAUUUCUUCUCAUUUUCAGGAUGAAGUGAACAAGCUUAUCAGUUCAACCCUGGGUGAAAGGGAGAGAUAUAAUACGCCUUUUCUAUGGCCUGGAUAAAGAAUCCCAUACAUGGGAAGACAUUAGUAGACAAACUGAAGGCGAGUGGUGACCUCACCAAGGAUGUAGAGCUAAGGGUGUGUUCUUAGCCAUUGGUUACAGUGAGAGGCUACAGGGGCUAUUGAUGUCUAUUGGUUGAAAUUUAAGUUUGUUCAUUUUAAAGAAUUAGCAGAGGCUUCUAUUGUGGUUCUUAAAUGUCGAAGAGCAUCAAAGCAUGCCUGCCUUAUUGCCGACUGGUCUUAUCUUCUCUUGUAUGGCUGUGAUUUGCUGAGAUGUUGCAGCUACUUUCAGUCCCAACUGAUGUACGGUUUUGCCUAUGACAUUCAUGUGCAUUUGUAGUAUGAAAACAUUAAAUAGACCAUUAACUGUUUUAUUGGUAUUGUGCUGGUUAUUGUCUUGAUGAAUGUUAAAUGGGUGAAACAU